CUGGGUUGCAGUGGCGUCCCUGGGCCCUGCCCACACUGCUCCUGCGAGCGGCAGGCCCGGGAAGGAAGAGUUAACCAGAAAUGGAGCGGCACCGCUCCCGGGCAGGCAGCGUCGCUGCAGAACAGAGCAGCGUUCGUGCUAAGGCAGCUCUGCGGUGUGCGGUGUGGCUGGUUUACUGAAGUGUGCCUGGAACUCGCUUUUCAGCAGAUCCCUUUGCCAUCCCAGGAACCUCAGCAGAAUUAGCCACGAAAGAACAUGACCUAUUUCCCUAUUGGAAAGUCUGUCAGGAUCCUUGGAGACGGCUUUCAAAACUGGGGACUGGGGGUCGUCUCCAUUGUGUCUCGAGAGAAACAGGAGAGGAGCUGGUUUUUAACAGAAUGUUAUACAUCCAAUCUGCUAUGCUUAAUGCAGCCUGGAUAUAAUUAUUACUACUCUCUGUUUACGACAGCAGCCGAAUCAGCUUCCAUCCAACAAAUGGCCCAGCAGCAGUGGGCCAGCCGCCGCCGAAAUGACAUCUGUUAAUUCUUUGUCAAAUACCCCCUCGGUCUCCCUUUCUCCCAAACAGCUCUGUGGUUAAUUACGACUUGGGCGUCUGACACAGUCUUUCGAGUGGAGAGACAAGCUUAAGGGCAGGGAGAAAUUUGGCUUCAAGAAAUUCCCUUCUUUCUCUCUCUUAAAAAAAAAAAAGCCGUAGCAAAUUGUUUAAAAUAAACAUUCAUUCGUG
rnacentral:lncRNA from 1 species